CUCCCUCACAUCCCCUCUCUCACAUCCUCCCCUUUAAUAAGAUGAACCCUGAUCCUCUCCCCCCUCGACUCCCUUCAGGGUCUCCCCCGUCUCUCCACCAGCUCAUUCCACUCCUCACUCUCUCUCGAUUUUUCCCCCAUUUACCAUUUCUCCGUGGCGUUGUCUUGUUUCUACGGUAACCACUGCUCCUUUUCUCAGCCCCCCCCACCCCAUGUCUCUUUUGUCGCCGGUUAUCCUUCGCCGCGGCGCCGCGUGCCAGCGCUGUUUCUGGGGGUUUAAGGGGAAGGGCGGCGGCGGCCGGUUAACCCCGUAAUGAUGCCUCCGUUGCCCCGGGUUGUCGCCGCCGCCCUCCAUCUGUCGGCUCAAAGAGAGUGGCCAAUCAGGCGGCCGCGUGAUGCGCUGUGACCCGGCCGGACAGACCGCCGGACAGAGGGGAGCGACCGGAGAACCGGGGACUGGAAUGAAGGAACGGCCGACGCUCAUUAGACCGUCAGCGAUCAUCAGCGUGGUGCAGGAGCUGAGGAGGACGGCAGAGCUGUGUGCUUCUCCCCGUCGGGUCAACAUCUGACCACCACAGGCUUUGAUGUGCUCCUUGGAAACCCCCGACACCUUAGGCAACACCAGGGAGUCAUAAGGGUCCUAAGGGUCUGUCUUAAGAUUCAGUCUUCAGGUUCAUUCUCAAGGUUGUGUCUUAAGGUUAAGUCUUAAGGUUCUGUCCUAUGGUUCUGUCUUAAGGGUCUGUCUUAAGGUUCUGUCUUAAGGUUUUGUCUUAAGGUUAAGUCUUAAGGUUCUGUCCUAAGGUUAAGUCUUAAGGUUCUAUCUUAAGGUUCAGUCUUAAAGUUAUGUCUUAAGGUUCAGCCUUAAGGUUCAUUCUUAAGGUUCUGUCUUAAGUUGUUGUCCUAAGGUUCUGUCUUCAGGUUCUUUCUUAAGGUUAAGUCUUAAGGUUAAAUUUUAAGGUUCAGUCUUAAGGUUCCGUCUUAAGGUUCCGUCUUAAGGUUAAGUCUUAAGGAUCAGUCUUAAGGUUCUGACUUAAGGUUCAGUCUUAAGGUUCUGUCUUAAGGUUCUGUCUUAAGGUUCUGUCUUAAGGUUCAGUCUUAAGGUUCUGUCUUAAGGUUCUGUCUAAAGGUUAUUUUUCUGGUCCGGUCCACUUUCCCUGUUGGCGAUCAGUCAGUUGUUCAUUUAGCCGCACAAAGACGGAGGCUGGAGGCUGGAGGGGAGGAGGGAGGAGGAGAGGGGUGAGGGAGGCAGGAGAGAGAGGGUGAGGGAGGAGGGGGUGAGGAGAGAGGGAAUGAGGAGAGAGGGGAUGGUGGCGAGGAAAGACCGGGAAGGGAGUGGACAUGGGGAGUCCUCAAACGCAGAUAUUCAGACAUGAAGGAGAGAAGUGAAAUAGACUACGGAUACAAAAAUAAGGAGGCAAAAGAUUGUCGCCAUGGAAACAGUGACCUUGUGCAUGAUGAGCUUAGGUUGGCUGUUCAACAGCACUUUGUUACAUCUCUGUAAUGAUUGCACAUGAGGUUGGAUAUUAGUAAAGAGGAGGGAGCAGAAUGUACAAUGGAAAAAAAAAACGAUUUGAUGUGCUUUUCCAAAAAAGGAUCUGUUAGGAUUUGUGAUUGCAAGUAAAGCAGCUUGACUGUGCGCCUUUAAAACGGAUACGCUUCACUCUGUCAUAAAAUGAAGACUUUAUCUCACCUUCAAGGUGAACGACUAUGAAGCAAUCUACAGUCUGGCUGCUAAUGCAGGCCUCUGCACACAGGCGUGAGAAUAUUGUGCGAGACACAGGAAACAAUGGGAAAGUUCUGCGUGAGCCUGUAUUCACAGGCUGGAGCUCUUCCAGAGCGAAGCUGGCACAGGCCGCUGGCGCCCACAACAUCGACCAUCCCAAGUGAACCAUUCUUUCCCUUCUUUAACUGAUUUAUUUUCAAUGCGCAUUUCUUUUCAAUGCUUUGGUGGCUUACUGAUUCAAUGUUGAUGCGAAGCUACAAUUUAAAAAAAGAGAUACAUGGAAGCUUCGGAGGUAUUUUUAGAAACCUGCGGAUGAACAGCAGUUGUGAAUUAUUUUGAAUGAAUGGAAUAUCUUUGUGUUGGUAUCUACAUGAUGUGCAAGCAGAAUGUAUUACCCUGAGGAAUUAUUUUGAACCAGAAGAAGAAAAAAACGGACUUAAAUAUUAUGGAAGAUGUUCGGACUUUAAAUACCAGCAGUGUGAGCUUUUUCUGUGCAGACCCUAAACCCAGUUCAUCAUAUUAUCCCUUUUUCUGCAAACUGUCUGUGUACGGGGAGGGUAAAAUAGGGUAUAUAUGCUCUCUUGUUUUUGGAGAGAAAAAUCAACAAAAGGUUACUUUCUACAAAAAAUAUUUUCAAAAUGAACAUGCAAAAACACUUUUCUGAUCAAAAUUUUACAUGUGCUUUAAUUGUAAAAAAAAAAGAUAGAAAAAAACAGUGAAGAGACUGUGCUUGUUCAGAGUCAAACUAAUUACUCUGGGGAGGAGGUUCAGUAAUUGAUAUCUGAGAUUGUAGUUCAUACUGUACAUGAAUACAAAUAAAAAAAUACAUUUUUUCCAAUAUAUUCUAUUUCAUAUAUUUUCCACGGUGCCGUCAUCAUCAUAAUCAUUUUGCGUUGCCCUUUGCACAUGAAUACAAGUCCAUUUAACAACAGUGACAGGCAGCAGAAAGGAGCCUUCGAUCUGAU
ensembl:lncRNA